rnacentral:rRNA from 1 species
CCCUUAGAUGUUCUGGGCCGCACACGCGCUACACUGGCAGGUUCAUCGAGCUUCAUGCCCUGAUCUGAGAAGAACGGGAAAUCUUUGAACACCUGCCGUGCUUGGGAUAGAUGUUUGCAAUUAUUCAUCUUCAACGAGGAUUGUCUUGUAAGCGCACGUCAUCAGCGUGCAUUGAAUACGACCCUGUAUUCUGUACACACCGCCCGUCGCUCCUACCGAUUGAAGUUUUCGGUGAAUUUACUGGAGAUCCCUUUUGAAGGUGGUUCGCCACUGGAAGAAGUAUUCAAAAGUAAAUGAAUCGAAUGCUUUAGAGGAAGGAGAAGUCGUAACA